AACGAACGCUGGCGGCAGGCUUAACACAUGCAAGUCGAACGCCCCGCAAGGGGAGUAGCAGACGGGUGAGUAACGCGUGGGAACAUACCCUUUCCUGCGGAAUAGCUCCGGGAAACUGGAAUUAAUACCGCAUACGCCCUACGGGGGAAAGAUUUAUCGGGGAAGGAUUGGCCCGCGUUGGAUUAGCUAGUUGGUGGGGUAAAGGCCUACCAAGGCGACGAUCCAUAGCUGGUCUGAGAGGAUGAUCAGCCACAUUGGGGCUGAGACACGGCCCAAACUCCUACGGGAGGCAGCAGUGGGGAAUAUUGGACAAUGGGCGCAAGCCUGAUCCAGCCAUGCCGCGUGAGUGAUGAAGGCCUUAGGGUUGUAAAGCUCUUUCACCGAUGAAGAUAAUGACGGUAGUCGGAGAAGAAGCCCCGGCUAACUUCGUGCCAGCCGCCGCCGUAA
rnacentral:rRNA from 1 species